GAUGAACGCUGACAGAAUGCUUAACACAUGCAAGUCAACUGUGGCGGACGGGUGAGUAACGCGUAAAGAACUUGCCUCACAGCUAGGGACAACAUUUGGAAACGAAUGCUAAUACCUGAUACUGUGAGAGAGCUUUGCGUCCCAUUAGCUAGUUGGAGAGGUAACGGCUCACCAAGGCGAUGAUGGGUAGCCGGCCUGAGAGGGUGAUCGGCCACAGGGGGACAGAGACACGGCCAUUACGCAAACGUGAGGCAGCAGUGGGGAAUAUUGGACAAUGGACCAAAGUAUGAUCCAGCAAUUCUGGGUGCAAGAUAAAGUUUUCGGAAUGUAAAGUGCUUUCAGUAGGGAAGCGGUACCAACAGAAGAAGUGACGGCUAAAUACGUGCCAGCAGCCGCGGUAAUAC
rnacentral:rRNA from 1 species